rfam:Clostridiales bacterium 41_12_two_minus Ley3_66761_scaffold_489, whole genome shotgun sequence.
GUCAAUAACCCGCGCCCGAGGUGACCUCGGACGGGGCUUGUAAAAGGGAAACCACUCUUUUAUGGGUUCUGUUUGUUACCAGAAGGCCGUGACCGAAAGGUCGAUAUUGAUUAGCCUUGGAAUUCGAUGGAACCUACCAAACCAGGUCAGGCGAACUAUUCGAUUUCUACGUUAUCGGCAAAAUAGGUACCCUGUGGAUACUCCUCUAGUCCCAGGUUCUACGGUAUGCCGUUAAACAUCCCUUACGGGUACGGGGAAGUGCGGUAUGCGUUAAACUGCCGAUAACAUUGGCGAAGAGGACAACCU